UACAGAGGUCCCAAGCGUUGUUCGGAUUCACUGGGCGUAAAGGGUGCGUAGGCGGCAUGCCAAGCGUGUGGUGAAAGCCCGGGGCUCAACCCCGGGUCGGCCGUGCGGACUGGCGUGCUCGAGCACUGUAGGGGCGGGUGGAAUUCCGGGUGUAGCGGUGGAAUGCGUAGAUAUCGGGAGGAACGCCGGUGGCGAAGGCGGCCUUCUGGACGGAUACUGACGCUGAGACGCGAAAGCGUGGGGAGCAAACAGG
rnacentral:rRNA from 1 species